rnacentral:rRNA from 1 species
CAGGCUUAACACAUGCAAGUCGAGGGGCAGCAUUUCAGUUUGCUUGCAAACUGGAGAUGGCGACCGGCGCACGGGUGAGUAACACGUAUCCAACCUGCCGAUAACUCGGGGAUAGCCUUUCGAAAGAAAGAUUAAUACCCGAUGGUAUAAUCAGACCGCAUGGUCUUGUUAUUAAAGAAUUUCGGUUAUCGAUGGGGAUGCGUUCCAUUAGGCAGUUGGUGAGGUAACGGCUCACCAAACCUUCGAUGGAUAGGGGUUCUGAGAGGAAGGUCCCCCACAUUGGAACUGAGACACGGUCCAAACUCCUACGGGAGGCAGCAGUGAGGAAUAUUGGUCAAUGGGCGCAGGCCUGAACCAGCCAAGUAGCGUGAAGGAUGACUGCCCUAUGGGUUGUAAACUUCUUUUAUAUGGGAAUAAAGUUUUCCACGUGUGGAAUUUUGUAUGUACCAUAUGAAUAAGGAUCGGCUAACUCCGUGCCAGCAGCCGCGGUAAUACGGAGGAUCCGAGCGUUAUCCGGAUUUAUUGGGUUUAAAGGGAGCGUAGGUGGACAGUUAAGUCAGUUGUGAAAGUUUGCGGCUCAACCGUAAAAUUGCAGUUGAUACUGGCUGUCUUGAGUACAGUAGAGGUGGGCGGAAUUCGUGGUGUAGCGGUGAAAUGCUUAGAUAUCACGAAGAACUCCGAUUGCGAAGGCAGCUCACUGGACUGCAACUGACACUGAUGCUCGAAAGUGUGGGUAUCAAACAGGAUUAGAUACCCUGGUAGUCCACACAGUAAACGAUGAAUACUCGCUGUUUGCGAUAUACAGUAAGCGGCCAAGCGAAAGCAUUAAGUAUUCCACCUGGGGAGUACGCCGGCAACGGUGAAACUCAAAGGAAUUGACGGGGGCCCGCACAAGCGGAGGAACAUGUGGUUUAAUUCGAUGAUACGCGAGGAACCUUACCCGGGCUUAAAUUGCAUUUGAAUAUAUUGGAAACAGUAUAGCCGUAAGGCAAAUGUGAAGGUGCUGCAUGGUUGUCGUCAGCUCGUGCCGUGAGGUGUCGGCUUAAGUGCCAUAACGAGCGCAACCCUUAUCUUUAGUUACUAACAGGUCAUGCUGAGGACUCUAGAGAGACUGCCGUCGUAAGAUGUGAGGAAGGUGGGGAUGACGUCAAAUCAGCACGGCCCUUACGUCCGGGGCUACACACGUGUUACAAUGGGGGGUACAGAAGGCAGCUACCUGGUGACAGGAUGCUAAUCCCAAAAGCCUCUCUCAGUUCGGAUCGAAGUCUGCAACCCGACUUCGUGAAGCUGGAUUCGCUAGUAAUCGCGCAUCAGCCAUGGCGCGGUGAAUACGUUCCCGGGCCUUGUACACACCGCCCGUCAAGCCAUGAAAGCCGGGGGUACCUGAAGUACGUAACCGCAAGGAGCGUCCUAGGGUAAAACUGGUAAUUGGGGCUAAGU